rnacentral:rRNA from 1 species
GACGAACGCUGGCGGCGUGCUUAACACAUGCAAGUCGAACGGUGAAGCUCCAGCUUGCUGGAGUGGAUCAGUGGCGAACGGGUGAGUAACACGUGAGCAACCUGCCCCUGACUCUGGAAUAAGCGCUGGAAACGGCGUCUAAUACUGGAUACGAGAAGGGUCCGCAUGGGCACUUUCUGGAAAGUUUUUCGGUUGGGGAUGGGCGCGCGGCCUAUCAGCUUGUUGGUGAGGUAAUGGCUCACCAAGGCGACGACGGGUAGCCGGCCUGAGAGGGCGACCGGCCACACUGGGACUGAGACACGGCCCAGACUCCUACGGGAGGCAGCAGUGGGGAAUAUUGCACAAUGGGCGAAAGCCUGAUGCAGCGACGCCGCGUGAGGGAUGACGGCCUUCGGGUUGUAAACCUCUUUCAGCAGGGAAGAAGCGAAAGUGACGGUACCUGCAGAAGAAGCACCGGCUAACUACGUG